AUUGAACGCUGGCGGCAGGCCUAACACAUGCAAGUCGAACGAGUGGCGGACGGGUGAGUAAUGUCUGGGAAACUGCCUGAUGGAGGGGGAUAACUACUGGAAACGGUAGCUAAUACCGCAUACCAUCAGAUGUGCCCAGAUGGUAUUAGCUUGUUGGUGGGGUAACGGCUCACCAAGGCGACGAUCCCUAGCUGGUCUGAGAGGAUGACCAGCCACACUGGAAUGGAGACACGGUCCAGACGCCUACGGUGGGCAGCAGUGGGGAAUAGUGCGCAAUGGGCGCAAGCCUGAGGCAGCCAUGCCGCGUGUAGGAAGAAGGCCUUCGGGUUGUAAAGUACUUUCAGUGGGGAGGCGUUACCCGAAGAAGAAGCACCGGCUAACUCCGUGCCAGCCGCCGCGGUAAUUC
rnacentral:rRNA from 1 species